UACAGAGGUCUCAAGCGUUGUUCGGAUUCAUUGGGCGUAAAGGGUGCGUAGGUGGCGAGGUAAGUUGGAUGUGAAAUCCCGGGGCUCAACCCCGGAACUGCAUUCAAUACUGCCUUGCUAGAGUACUGGAGAGGAGAUUGGAAUUUACGGUGUAGCAGUGAAAUGCGUAGAUAUCGUGAGGAACACCAGAGGCGAAGGCGGUUUCCUGGACAGUUACUGACGCUCAGGCACGAAAGCAUGGGGAGCAAAAGGG
rnacentral:rRNA from 1 species